rnacentral:rRNA from 1 species
AGAGUUUGAUCAUGGCUCAGAACGAACGCUGGCGGCGUGCCUAACACAUGCAAGUCGAACGUGAUUGGGGAGCUUGCUCCUCAUGAAAGUGGCGCACGGGUGAGUAACGCGUAGAUAAUCUACCUGAUGAUUUGGGAUAACACUUCGAAAGGGGUGCUAAUACCGAAUAAGCCCACGGAGUCCUUGGACACUGCGGGAAAAGGAGGGGACCUUCGGGCCUUCCGUCAUCAGAUGAGUCUGCGUACCAUUAGCUAGUUGGUAGGGUAAAGGCCUACCAAGGCGACGAUGGUUAGCUGGUCUGAGAGGAUGAUCAGCCACACUGGAACUGAGACACGGUCCAGACUCCUACGGGAGGCAGCAGUGGGGAAUUUUGCGCAAUGGGGGAAACCCUGACGCAGCAACGCCGCGUGAGUGAUGAAGGCCCUUGGGUCGUAAAGCUCUGACAGAGGGAAAGAAAUGUGGGUGGCUAAUAUCCAUUCCACUUGACGGUACCCUCAAAGGAAGCACCGGCUAACUCCGUGCCAGCAGCCGCGGUAAUACGGAGGGUGCGAGCGUUGUUCGGAUUUAUUGGGCGUAAAGCGCGUGUAGGCGGUUUUAUAAGUCUGAUGUGAAAGCCCUGGGCUCAACCUGGGAAGUGCAUUGGAUACUGUAAGACUUGAAUACGGGAGAGGGUAGUGGAAUUCCUGGUGUAGGAGUGAAAUCCGUAGAUAUCAGGAGGAACACCGGUGGCGAAGGCGGCUGCCUGGACCGAUAUUGACGCUGAGACGCGAAAGCGUGGGUAGCAAACAGGAUUAGAUACCCUGGUAGUCC